rnacentral:rRNA from 1 species
CCUACGGGAGGCAGCAGUGGGGAAUAUUGGGCAAUGGGCGCAAGCCUGACCCAGCAACGCCGCGUGAAGGAAGAAGGCUUUCGGGUUGUAAACUUCUUUUAAGAGGGAAGAGCAGAAGACGGUACCUCUUGAAUAAGCCACGGCUAACUACGUGUCAGCAGCCGCGGUAAUACGUAGGUGGCAAGCGUUGUCCGGAUUUACUGGGUGUAAAGGGCGUGCAGCCGGGAAGACAAGUCAGAUGUGAAAGCCCGCGGCUCAACCGCGGAACUGCAUUUGAAACUGUUUUUCUUGAGUACCGGAGAGGUCAUCGGAAUUCCUUGUGUAGCGGUGAAAUGCGUAGAUAUAAGGAAGAACACCAGUGGCGAAGGCGGAUGACUGGACGGCAACUGACGGUGAGGCGCGAAAGCGUGGGGAGCAAACAGGAUUAGAUACCCGUGUAGUC